rnacentral:lncRNA from 1 species
AACAAGAAAGUUUUUGCUGAGGACACUUCAUGAAGCACACGGAGUUCAACAUCUCGUGACAGGACUAACGGAUAAGGAAAAUAUUCAUCAAUAGAUUAACGUUUAUAUAAUUAUGUGUGCAAACUAGCCGAUUCUUUUAAAAAAAACAUUCUCUCAAGAUGUGUUUUGUGUCAAAUAUUAUGUGGCAACUUUACUACAGAUGAAGGAAUAUUUCUACACUAUUUCAGAAACUUGGACUUUUUAUAAAAACUUGAUAAAUCGCUCAAUAACCUUCCGAAUGCUACCGAUUUUAAAUUUGUUACUAUCUAGUAUGUUUUGGCUUAAUUUGUAUAUGUGUAUUAUUUCUACCAGUAACAAGAG